AUACGUAGGUGACAAGCGUUAUCCGGAUUUACUGGGCGUAAAGGGCGUGUAGGCGGUCUUGCAAGUCAGAAGUGAAAUUCCUGAGCUCAACUCGGGCGCUGCUUCUGAAACUGCAGGACUUGAGUGCUGGAGGGGAUAGCGGAAUUCCUAGUGGAGCGGUAAAAUGCGCAGAUAUUAGGAAGAACACCGGUGGCGAAGGCGGCUAUUAGGACAUUAACUGACGCGGCGGCGCGAAAUCGUGGGGAGCAAACAGGAUUAGAUACCCGGCGAGUCCACGCCGUAAACGAGGAAUACUAGGUGUAGGGGGUAUCGACUCCCUCUGUGCCGCAGUUAACACAAUAAGUAUUCAGCCUGGGGAGCACGGCCGCAAGGUUGACACUCAAAUGAAUUGACGGGG
rnacentral:rRNA from 1 species